rnacentral:rRNA from 1 species
GCCGAUUAAAGUGGUACGCGAGCUGGGUUUAAAACGUCGUGAGACAGUUUGGUCCCUAUCUUCCGUGGGCGCAGGAGACUUGAGAGGGGUUGUCCCUAGUACGAGAGGACCGGGAUGAACGAACCACUGGUGUUCCUGUUGUCGCGCCAGCGGCAUCGCAGGGUAGCCACGUUCGGAAGGGAUAACCGCUGAAAGCAUCUAAGCGGGAAGCCCGCCUCAAGAUAAGGUCUCCCCGAAGGUCCCAGGUAGACUACCUGGUUGAUAGGCCGGAAGUGUAAGCAUGGCAACAUGUUCAGCCAACCGGUACUAAUAGACCGUUCGGCUUGUUUUUCCAC